UAAAAUAUAUUUAAAAAAUAUGACUCUUUCUUUUCAAACUAUUACUCCCAAAUAUUUUCAAUUAUUAAAUAUGUUCUAAGUCAAGUCAAUCUCCUUUUAAAGUUUUAUUUAUUAAAAUCUAAAUAAUUAUAGUGACUAACAACUUGACUAACUUUUGGUACCAUGAAUAUCAUAUUCCACUUUUUCAAGUGACACGUGAUAAUUUUCCUAUAAGGAUACAAGUAUUGAUUGACACAUGUCCACACAGGACAAAUAUGAUUAUCGUAUUAUCACAAGUCUUUUCCGUAGCUUGAUGACAAGUACAAUUUUAUGUUGAAUUCUUUAAAAUAUAUAUAUUUUUUAGUUUUUAUUCUUCCAAAAUUCUGACUUGCAAACACAUCACAAGCUAACAAACAAAGAUAAUCUAAAAUCUAAAAUUAAAUAAAUUUAAAUUUAAAAAAAAAAA